UCUCUCUCUCUCUCUCUCUCUCCUCACACUUCCUCCAUAGUACAGAAACGAAGGGCCUGAAAAUUUCCAGCCGGCUCAAUUGAAAUCUCCAUUUCCACCCAUUUUUCCCAAAAUUUUUAACUUCCAUCUCCACCCAUUUCGAGUCCCAGAAGGGAGAAAGCAACCUCCGGCCGGCACAUGCUUGAAGUACUCCGGCCGCAGGCCAGUUCAAGCGCACUCGGUGCUCAUCUUUACGGAGUCCACAAAUCUCCUUCGAAGUCAUCUUAGUCCCGUCUAGCAAGUAUUCAACCAGCCAAUCGUCUAGAGCCAGCGUUUCCUCGGUUAACUUUGCGACAAAUGAAACAUCUGAACAAAUAUCACAUAUGUUUCAUUCUCAAGUUUGUAUCUCUAUAGAAGAAGAUCUACAUAUUAUGGUGAACGUGAAUGUGUGCAAGGAAUCAUUGAAGUGAAUUGAGAAGGGAAGGGGUUGACCUGAUUAGUAGCUAUUAGUAGAAGUAGUAGUUAUUAUAUAAUCUUUUAUAUGAGGUUGAACUAUUUUGAGCGAAGGCAUAUAAACUAUGUUUGUAAAUUCUUCUAAUUUGUGAAAUGCUAUAUUUCAACGCUUA